CAAUAGCAUAUAUUAAAGUUGUUGCAGUUAAAAAGCUCGUAGUUGAAUUUCUGGCGGGCGCGCCGGUCUUCCAAGUGUUGUACUGGGCGCAGUCCGCCAUCCUUGUGGAGAGGGCUCGCAUUGAGUUGCGUGUCGGAUCUGCAUCAUUUACUGUGAAAAAAUUAGAGUGUUUAAAGCAGGCUGUCGCUUGAAUACAUUAGCAUGGAAUAAUAAGAUAGGACUUCGGUCUAUUUUGUUGGUUGCGAACCGAGGUAAUGAUUAAUAGGGAUAGUUGGGGGUAUUCAUAUUUAAUUGUCAGAGGUGAAAUUCUUGGAUUUAUGAAAGAUGAACAACUGCGAAAGCAUUUACCAAGGAUGUUUUCAUUAA
rnacentral:rRNA from 1 species